rnacentral:rRNA from 1 species
AGUGAACGCUGGCGGUAGGCCUAACACAUGCAAGUCGAACGGCAGCACAGUAAGAGCUUGCUCUUACGGGUGGCGAGUGGCGGACGGGUGAGGAAUACAUCGGAAUCUACUUUUUCGUGGGGGAUAACGUAGGGAAACUUACGCUAAUACCGCAUACGACCUACGGGUGAAAGCAGGGGAUCUUCGGACCUUGCGCGAUUGAAUGAGCCGAUGUCGGAUUAGCUAGUUGGCGGGGUAAAGGUCCACCAAGGCGACGAUCCGUAGCUGGUCUGAGAGGAUGAUCAGCCACACUGGAACUGAGACACGGUCCAGACUCCUACGGGAGGCAGCGGUGGGGAAUAUUGGACAAUGGGCGCAAGCCUGAUCCAGCCAUACCGCGUGGGUGAAGAAGGCCUUCGGGUUGUAAAGCCCUUUUGUUGGGAAAGAAAAGCAGCAGGUUAAUACCCCGCUGUUCUGACGGUACCCAAAGAAUAAGCACCGGCUAACUUCGUG